GAUCCUGGCUCAGGAUGAACGCUAGCUACAGGCUUAACACAUGCAAGUCGAGGGGCAGCGGGAUUGAAGCUUGCUUCAAUUGCCGGCGACCGGCGCACGGGUGAGUAACGCGUAUCCAACCUGCCCACCACUUGGGGAUAACCUUGCGAAAGUAAGACUAAUACCCAAUGACAUCCCACGAAGACAUCUGAAUGGGAUUAAAGAUUUAUCGGUGAUGGAUGGGGAUGCGUCUGAUUAG
rnacentral:rRNA from 1 species